GNGCCUUANAUGCAGUCGAGCGGUAACAGAAAGUAGCUUGCUACUUUGCUGACGAGCGGCGGACGGGUGAGUAAUGCUUGGGAACAUGCCUUGAGGUGGGGGACAACAGUUGGAAACGACUGCUAAUACCGCAUAAUGUCUACGGACCAAAGGGGGCUUCGGCUCUCGCCUUUAGAUUGGCCCAAGUGGGAUUAGCUAGUUGGUGAGGUAAUGGCUCACCAAGGCGACGAUCCCUAGCUGGUUUGAGAGGAUGAUCAGCCACACUGGGACUGAGACACGGCCCAGACUCCUACGGGAGGCAGCAGUGGGGAAUAUUGCACAAUGGGCGCAAGCCUGAUGCAGCCAUGCCGCGUGUGUGAAGAAGGCCUUCGGGUUGUAAAGCACUUUCAGUCAGGAGGAAAGGUUNNUGGUUAAUACCCGUUAUNUGUGACGUUACUGACAGAAGAAGCACCGGCUAACUCCGUGCCAGCAGCCGCGGUAAUACGGAGGGUGCGAGCGUUAAUCGGAAUUACUGGGCGUAAAGCGUACGCAGGCGGUUUGUUAAGCGAGAUGUGAAAGCCCCGGGCUCAACCUGGGAACUGCAUUUCGAACUGGCAAACUANAGUGUGAUAGAGGGUGGUANAAUUUCANGUGUAGCGGUGAAAUGCGUAAAGAUCUGAAAGAAUACCGAUGGCNAANGCAGCCACCUGGGUCNACACUGACNCUCAUGUACCAAAGCGUGGGGAGCAAACNGGAUUAGAUACCCCNGUAGUCCACNCCGUAAACGAUGUCUACUAAAANCUCGGANCCUCCGNUCUGUUUUUCNAAGCUAACGCAUUAA
rnacentral:rRNA from 1 species